UUGAACUUUGUUUGUAGUUUUUUAACAUUUGCAUGUUUUAUUUAUGAUAUAUGCUCUAUUGCCUAUAUGAAGAAGUAGAAGAAUGGAAUAAAGAAUGUAGAUUGAUUAUGGGAAAGGAUUUAGGAGGAGUAAUUUUCUUUAGGAAGUGUUCAUCUAUGUGAAACCAUGUGGCAUCACCUGGUGAGUUUUCUACUUGAUAUUUGGUAGAAAAAUUGUUGUACAGAGUGUAC
rnacentral:lncRNA from 1 species